AACGAACGCUGGCGGCAGGCCUAACACAUGCAAGUCGAACGGAUCCUUCGGGAUUAGUGGCAGACGGGUGAGUAACGCGUGGGAAGCUACCUUGUGGUAGGGAACAACAGUUGGAAACGACUGCUAAUACCCUAUGAGCCCUAUGGGGGAAAGAUUUAUCGCCAUGAGAUGUGCCCGCGUUAGAUUAGCUAGUUGGUAAGGUAAUGGCUUACCAAGGCGACGAUCUAUAGCUGGUCUGAGAGGAUGAUCAGCCACACUGGGACUGAGACACGGCCCAGACUCCUACGGGAGGCAGCAGUGGGGAAUAUUGGACAAUGGGGGCAACCCUGAUCCAGCCAUGCCGCGUGUGUGAUGACGGCCUUAGGGUUGUAAAGCACUUUCAGCAGUGAAGAUAAUGACAUUAACUGCAGAAGAAGCCCCGGCUAACUUCGUGCCAGCAGCCGCGGUAAUACGAAGGGGGCUAGCGUUGUUCGGAAUCACUGGGCGUAAAGCGUACGUAGGCGGACUGAUCAGUCAGGGGUGAAAUCCCGGGGCUCAACCCCGGAACUGCCUUUGAUACUGUCAGUCUUGAGAUCGAGAGAGGUGAGUGGAACUCCGAGUGUAGAGGUGAAAUUCGUAGAUAUUCGGAAGAACACCAGUGGCGAAGGCGGCUCACUGGCUCGAUAC
rnacentral:rRNA from 1 species